rnacentral:rRNA from 1 species
GAGACCUCAGGUCAGGCGGGACUACCC